rnacentral:rRNA from 1 species
UACGGGGGGGGCAAGCGUUGUUCGGAAUUACUGGGCGUAAAGGGCGCGUAGGCGGCUACGCACGUCCGUUGUGAAAUCGCUCGGCUCAACUGGGCGGGGUCAGCGGAUACGGUGUAGCUGGAGCAAGCUAGGGGGCAAUGGAAUUCCCGGUGUAGUGGUGGAAUGCGUAGAUAUCAGGAGGAACACCGGUGGCGAAGGCGGGUCUCUGGGCAACAACUGACGCUGAGGAGCGAAAGCGUGGGGAGCGAACAGG